GAGCAAACACGAGGAAGAACAGUUGAUGACUUGGUUCAUUUGGAAUUUCUCUUCAUAAUACUUCUGCCAGUGUCGAAUUGCAGAACAAAGAUAUUCAGGGACUCGAAUAUGACAUCCGUUGGCCAAAACUGUGUCGUUUUGUAAAAAUAUUUCUUUAGCAAAUUCAUUCUUAGGAAGCUCAUUUUUUCUCAAUUGCUUGUAUUCAUGGCAUUUUUGUAGGCUUUAAGCACAAAUGGUUUGUGUUUGCAUUCUUUCACAUAUUCAUUUCUGCAUGAUAGGUGAAAUUACUUUUUAAUCAUCGAAUUUUGGUGAAUGAUAACCCCAUGGUUUAUUCAAAGCAUACU
rnacentral:lncRNA from 1 species